AAGAUACCUGGGACGUUAUCAGUCUGCUGUGAUGUUUGAAACCAGAGAGAAUUGUUUUCAACGAAGGGCAAAGGGAGAGCGACAGAUUUCGUAAGAGUUCAGCUAUGGAAAGUGGAAAUGGUGGUGCCUCGAGUAAAGGUGUUUUACUGCCCGUGUCAGACACUUCUGACGUCUUUAAAAACAGCAUUUUGGCCCCUCUUCAAAGUGCGUACUUGUAUGAAGAGUCAAAGCAGUCUUUCAGAUACAAGUCCGCUGUCUUGAUUAAGAAUCCAGUACUGGAAGAGAAGUAUAAUGCCUUCAGAGCCAAGAUAAGAGACGUAACAGAUUCAGAAGAAGAUCUGAAGGAAACCUAUGGGUUUUUGCUGUUUGAUGAUCUCGAGAAGGCUCAUGCAAUUGGAGAAACUGGUGUUCUCACAGGAAACAGUUCAUGCACAACCCUGGGAGAUCCCUGGAAGGGUGUUUACAUUUCUAUGUACUCUGACUGUUUGGAUCUGAAUCGCUGGUAUCAUGGGAAAUCUGGAUACAUUGCUAUCAUCAGGCUGACAAAGGGGAGAGUUAAAAGAGUUUUAGAGAACUACACCCAGAAUUUCACAGCACCCACUGUGGGGUUCGACUGCCAUGUGUCAGAGCAGUUGUCCUCAGUAUCUGCCAAAACCAGCUCCUUUCUUGCUUUUGAGAGAACCCAGUAUUACAUGUAUGAGCUGUUAGAUGAUGGAAGCAGUGAAACGGCUCAGUGUCCCAGUGCUGCCUGUCCUUUUGCUAUUGUAUCGUUUUCAUAUUCGGACACCAAAGCAACACCUGUGGCACCACAGGAGACAAGAGAGGAGAAAAAACAGGUCUCUCAGUACUUUGCCUGGAGAGGUCAACUUCAAAUAGGCACCCGGUUCUGUGAUGUUGGGCUGAGGUCUACAACAGGAACUUUGAUUCCUGCAAAACUGCCACCAGUGGUCAAAGUUGACAGAGCCAUCUCCACGUUAGAUCUGAUAAAGCUGUUGCCCAGGACUGUCUUUGAAACCUGCUUCUCAGGAGAAGUCUUUUUAGAUGGCUUAUACUACAGUCUGUGUGAGCUGUUGACUUCUGAGGCAGAAGAAACCAACUUAUUCUCUCUGCUUCUACGGGAGAUCAAGGAGAAAGAUCUUGCUCUCCCUGUUCCGCUGAAUGAUGGUGGUUUUCUUAUCCUGUUACACCCCUCCCAUUUCUUCACGUACGAUGACACGGGGUCCAACGCAACUGAGGUCCUGAGAGGCAUGUUUGUUUUUCCAGACUCACGCGUUAUACAGAAAGACACAAAAUCUGGACACAGAAAGACCACGUUGUCAUCUGAAAUCCUUCGGGUUCUACCAGUGCUAAGCUACGCAGAGGGUGAAAUUGAGAAAACACCCUUCGACUCAAAUGAAAAACUGUGUGAAGUGUUGGUGCAGCAUAUGCAGAAUUAUGCAGCACUGAUAAAUCCUGGGUUGGCAUUAAGUCCCUCAAGGGAGUCCAGCAUCUUUCCAGAUCAGUAUGAUGUGCUGGAUGGGCACAGACACCUCUAUUCAUCCCCUGAGUGGACUAACAGGGCAUGGCAGAGCUUCAGGUCAUACAUCAGCAAGCCAGUAUCCUUUCAGUUGCCAGUAUCUAAAGCUUCAGAAAUCCUGGCAGCUGGACAAGAGGAGCAAAGAGAAGACCUUGAUGACGACGUCUAUAUCUGCCUGUCAUCUCCUGAGGAGGCACCAACCAGUUCUGUUGGCAUUCGGACAGAAGACCAGUUAACAGACCGGAAAUCUCCUGUAAAUGUUGAGACAUCUGAGGACAGUUAUGUAACAAGUACGGAAGCACAAGUUGACUUAACAGCUGUGCCUCAGAAUGUUGUACCAGAUGAUUUGCAAGCUGGAGAUAAAACCAAAGAUACGGAAAAAUCAGGUCUGACCAUACUGAUCAAAACUGAUGAUUCAGGGGCAAAAAAUCUUCAGAUUCCCGCUACAUCAGAGGACCUUUCAGCAGAGCUGAUUGUUAGCAUCACUUCAGCAGAGCGAACUGUAACUGAUGAAAGUGUGAUCAGUACCAUGACAGCAACAAAGCAUAAUGACUUUCAGCUUUCUGGUUUUUCAGCAGCAAAAUUGCAAACACCAGGAGAGGACUCUCUGCAUGAUGAGACUGCUACAAAAGUCAUAAAUAAAGAUUGCCCUGAGCUCACCAGUUUCACAAAAACAAAACAAAGGAGACUAUACAGGGGGCAUACCAAAGGUCUGAGAAAGGCAUCUAAAGCUGGUGCUGAGACUCUUAGUUCACAGACAGUCAAUAUGUCAGGGGAGGAUGACAUCUCCAUGAGUCAGAAGGAUGACCAGGACAUGGAAUCAUCAGGCCUCUCACAGCUGAACAGUCCUUUGAAUAUUGCUUUGAGAAAAUUCCGAAGGCGAAAACGCAAAUUUGGGAAGCUGUCAUCUAAGAAUAAGAAAGUGAGAGAGAGGGAGCAAAAAUCAGACCCUGGACAGCAGAACUUGGGGGGCAUCGUUUUAAUGGAACCUGAAGUUUGUCCUCUGAGAAAGAAAACCGAGCGCUGGGACUUAAAGCCGGUUUUGAGCGAAUGUGGACAAAUCUUGGUUCCUCAUGGCUCCAUAGACUUUGCUGAUCAAAUUAGGUCUUUCAAAGAUCAGCUUCAGUGUACAAAAAACGACCAGUAUCCUGAAAAAAUGCCAGUUGAUGCCUCCGUGAGUGCUCAUGACAAAGUUGAAAUGGAGCAAGAGUCUAGCACUUCUCCAGAGACAGCAGUGGACAAAAGAGAGGCCACAACAUCCAAGGAUGGAGGGAACCAUCUUCAAAAUGUUGUGGCUGGUCGUAUUAAUGCUGAACAUAGCCUUUUGAGACAAUCAGACGACGGUUCUCUGAAUCCAGAGAGUAGUAAGCAUUCCUCAAAGGAUGAUGGCACAGACACUAGUCCCUCAGAAGCGGUUAAAGAAAAGCACACUAAUACCUUCUCCCCAGGAAAGUGUGCAACAGUGGGUGACUUUCUGUUGAGUAAACUAAAAUCAGUUCUUUUAAGGGGAAAGAGAAAAAACAAUUUCCUUGCAUUAGAGGGAAACACUACAGAUACUGCCCAGAACACUGAGCCUUGUCUCAAGAAGGGCAAAGUUGACUCUGAUGCUGAGGCAUUGAAGAGUAAUAAUGCAAGUGUCCCGACCACCAGUGCGGGUGCCAAGGAAGUUUCAGAGAUGCUUUCAGUUGACCCUGUUUUUGCUUAUGCCUUGGGCCUGACCCCUAAAGAGAAACCAAAUGACGUACAGAAAAGUGAGGGUCAGGAUUCUCAACUAAAGAAAGCCUCAUCAGAGACACAAGAACAAACCAUUUUAGACAAACAUCCUCAAAUCAUACAAAAAUCUCCAUCAAUUUUCCCAAGAAGGGGUAGGAUUAAAACACUCAAAAGGCAUCAAGGCAUCCCCGCAGAACAUAUCAAAAAGAAAUGGUGGUUGCAUUUUCAAACCCCAGCUUCUUUUGCCACUGAAAAACUCAAAAACAAAGAGAGUACUAGGGAUAAUUCUGUCAGGAAGACUGUUAAGGAAAAAAUGAACAGUGCUUGCUCAUCUACAGAUGGUUUGAACUUACUUGCUGACUUGGCACUCAGAGCCAGUAAAGACCAGGUUCCACCACAACCAGACCAAGCACUUGAGAGAAAACCUGAGACGAGUUUGAAGAAGUGUGGCCUUAAAAAAGAUGUUACCAGUGCUGAACAAGAGUCAGUUCUUCAUGCUCUGCUUAGACAGCCUGCUGCUCUACCCAUUCCGCCUCUUGAGUCCCCUUCUCCAAGCCAUCUUGUGGGAGGUAGUGAAUUGGUUGGUUUAAUAUCUAAAGAACAUGCUUACUCACUACCCCCGUCUUCCCCUCUGCUGUUGGGUUUGCCAGGUACACCCUUCCAGGUAUCCCCUUUAAGUGGUUCUACCAGACUGCUGCACCAUCACCCGCAAUUGCAUGGCGGUGGAAUUCAAACACUACACCCCUCUGUCUGUCAGAACGACAGAGGUGAAUGCAACCACCGGACUUCAGAAUACCUGAAAAAACACUUGGUUCGCAGGCGAAAGUUCAGACACUCUCGAACCUUUGUUAACAAGGAUGGAUCUGUCCAAGUCACAAGGCAAUGGAAAGAAAACUAUGACUUUAAUCGAGACAGCAAGUUUUCAAGCGACUCAAAGGAUAAAGCUAUCCUACGAGCCUUGCAUGGCCCAUGGGAUUUCUCCAUUCAGGACACCACAGAAGAGGUACAGCUCAUUGUCCACAUGUGGAUAGGUCUGUUUUACAGCCGGUCAACAGCCAGAUUCUUUGACAUUGACUCGAACUUAACAUACCCAUGUUCAGAAGAGAGCGAUUCUCUGGAAAUGUCCAGUGGAAUUGUAUCAGCAUCAGAUGAGUCUGAGCUCAAGGCAAAUUCAUGUGGUGCUUUCCCAAGUGUAACAGACACUCAGGAACCUUCAAUUUCAAAAGCUUUGGACCUCAGCAAAAGAGAUGACUCUGUCUUAGACCAAGGAUCUGUGAUUUUGGACUUGUCACUGAGAAACACCAGGGCAGAGACUGUCACUCCAGAUUCAGAAUUCAACAGUAAAGGAGUUUCUGUGCCUGAUGAACGGAAAGAAGGAAGUGACACAUUGAACAUGGUCAAGUCAUCCAUGAGACUACAAGAGUGUCACAAAAAAUUUGUAGACUCCACAGAGAUAUUUAAUGAGGAAAAUGAUGUCAGAAGCAUCUAUGAAAAUAAGAAAAUUUGUAGUCCUUUGCAAAAAGAUGGCUGUCUGGAGCACACUGAUGAUCCCUCACCUUUAAAAGGUGAGGGAUCAUUUAUUCCUCCACAAGAAAAGAAGGAAAGAGCAUCCAUUUGGACAGAAAAUGAUUGGACUUCUUUGGGAAUUGACCACGUGUCACAUAGAUGCAACAAAGAGAAGACGCAUAUGAAAGAUGCCAUUGAAAAUUCUGAAACUACAGAGAUGAGUUUGGUUCAAAAACAAGAAACAGAUCCAUACAAAUCCAUUACAAACGAAGAUGAAGAGGUAGAAUCCAACAAAGAAGCAGAUCAAGUGUUGCAUACAGAUGAGCAUGAUGAAAUUGAUUACAAAGAUGGGAAAAACUGGGAAAUGAAAGAAAACCCAUGUCACAAAGGCAAAAUAGAACCUUCUCCAAAAGUCGCGUAUACAGAUGACGAUUCUGCAAACAAACAAUCAGGUAUCAUCUGUGAUGGAGCCCUAAAUGAGAAGCAGUUAUCAAGGGAGGAACCUAAAGCAGUCUCACCAGGCAAGGCUGAAAAUGUUAAUGAAGAUGUGGACUUCAUUAACAUUACAGCACAUGAAGAUAAAAUGACUGCAGAUGAAGAUCGUUUUGGAAAAGACAGUGGACUUGAUGAGAAGGACAGUUGCCUUUCAGCUGUGGGAGUUGACAGUGAUUUGCGUGAUCAGCCGUUACCUAAGGCGCGUGAAGGCUCCGAUUCAGCACAGAAGGAUUGUCUUACAGAUUGUAGUCGCAGAGCACCGUUUGAUGAGCCACCACCUCAGGAAGACAAUGAGGAAGAUGUCUGCCAUGAUUUGCAGAGAAAGCUUUGUGCAAACAGAAGUGCAUUGUCAGAUGAACAUGCCAUUUCAGAAAAAGCUCCUGACACUUCAUCUGAAAUGGAGCCUGUUUCUAAUGAGCCUGCAGCUGAGGAAAAUUCAGAAAAUAUUUGUUUGGAAGAUAAAGACCAUGAUUGGAAGGCAGCAUUACCUAUAUCUGAUGAGAGCACCUGUUCAUUAGAUGGGUCUUGUGUACUUGGGUCUGUCCUCAAGACAGAGGACAGUUUGGAAACAGGAGGGCAAAACACAGCAAUGGCAGUCUUCAGUUUUGGAAGUAGUGAUGGUCGUGAAGAUCAGCAAGCCAAAUCAGUUGCGGAAGAGAAAAAGGAUGAACCAUUUCAUCACGAGUCUCAUUCACCUCAGUGUGAGGUUAUAGAAAAAUGUGAAGACACACUAACUAAAGAAACAGAUCUCAAAAUGAACAAAAUAAAUGAUGGAUUGGAAAAAAGUCAUAGUGGGGUUGUAAUUCCAUUUAUUGGAAUAGAUAUUUCUGGAGAGGACAUAGUACAACCACAUUGCUCACACUCACAGCGCAAGAUUGAAGAUGUUCAAGACCGGAAAGGAAUACCAUUUAUCAGUGAAACUACCUCCCCUGACUUACCCACAGAGGUAUGCAGUACACCUGAAAUGUACUGUAAAAAGAAGGAACUGUCUGCUGGCAAAAUAUCACUUCUUGAUGUAACUGAAACCAACCAGCCAGUAGUCUUGGGAAGUGAGUCUGAUGAGCGAUGUCCUACCCCGACUGUGGAUGAGAAGCCACAUGAGUGCAUACCUUAUUUUGGCCCUGACAGCAGUACUUCUGCUUUUAGUAGCAGUGAAACCUGCAAAAACAUUAUUCAGGAAUGUCUUAAUAGAACCUCAACACCCACAAAGGAUGAGAUGUCUCUUGAGCAAAAUCUUGUUCCCCACUCUUCAGUUAACAGUGAUCCCAACCCUCAUUGCGGUCUUCAAACUGAUCUGGAACUAAGAACUUUAAGAGUUCUACAAACUAUAGACAAGUACCUCUCCGAAUCAAAGAACACGGACAAAUCCAACCACAUUGAAACAGCUGAUGUGAAACACUGUCUUCAAACCCCUGACCUCAACAGCAAGUACAUCCCCACUUACUUAGCUCCAAAUCACACUUCACCUGGCUUUAAUGAGCAGAAAAUAAGCAAUUCAAAGCCAGCAGUGGUGUCAGCCUCUACCUCAGAGGGCCUGCACCAAAAAUCAUCUGAUAACUUUCUUAUAUCGCCUUUCAAAAUUAAAUUAGAGGAAGUACUUGGUGUUCCCUUGCAGCUAAAGAAAACGGACUCACCACUUCCUCAACACUAUUUUGAAAGAACAGAUAAAUCACAGGAAACCCUGAUAGGGCAAGAUUGUCAUUCCUACACAUCUAUUCCGUCGGCUGAGUGUUUGCAGACUAUUAAACCAAAUGUCGACCAAGACAGGCAUAAAACAUCUCAGUUCAGUUUAAAUCAUGAAUCCCGUUCAUACAGUCAGCGUCCUGUCAUGGCUGUGAAACCCUCCAAGAGUGAUGAAAGUCAAGCAGAUUUCAUCUCUGAAGAUGGACAUAUUGAACACUCUCCCAGUAAUAAAAAGAAAACCCCUGUAGUUGCAUACACCACGCCCACUACCAUGCCUGUAGAGAAGAAGACAGAAAAUUUCAGGGCAAAUUCUGGACUAAACAAUGAUGAGCAAGAGUCCAGUGAGUUUACUUCCAAAAGUAGUUGGUUCUCAUAUGUUAGCGACAGUAAAUCUAACUUGGAUAAAACUAAUUUUCCUUCUUUUGUUGGGCAAACAAAUAAAGAGGACGCUGAGAUGGAUCAGAAAGACUGCUCAGAAGCAUCAACUUCAUUUGUGGAUUACAAAGAUAACAGCACAGUAAACGACAGUCCUAUCCAAGGACCUCAAAGCUCACUCAUAUGUACAGUCUAUAACACCAGCCGAAAGAGAUCAUAUUCUUUUCUAGAGCAAGUUUCUCAGAGGGGCCUACAAGAUGACCUCACUCAGGCAUCAAUGGAACAGGAGUGCCUUAUCUUUUCAGAACAAAUGAAACAGUUUUUGAAAAGGAGUAAGAGAGGACCCAACCACCAACAGGACACUCAUGACAAAUUGAAGUUGUCUUGCGCUAGCCCUAUGACUGUGAACUUUUCCAGUCUAGAGGAGCAAGAGGAUUCACUGGAUCUCUUGGACAAACCAUCACUUGUUGGACAAAAAAUCAAGGUAGACAUGUCCAACAGGAAAGACAUGAGAGACUCCACUGAGAACGAAAAGACUCAAAAAUUCUCAUCCAUGCAUCCUCAAAAAUUAUCUUCAGGAACAGGAAACCUUAAGGACCAUGCUGGAGUCUCUAGUGCGACUGCAGACUGGGCUAGAAGGUACGAGGCAAUGAUGGAGGACGUCUGUGCUGUGAAAAAGGUCCCAUCUAGACCUAAGAACUUCAGAAUGGACAGAGAUCACAAAAAGACUGAAUCAAACCAUUUUGACUUCUGUGAUCAAAUGAAGAAAGAGAUGGAUGAGAGCUUUCGAAGUAAUCUGAAUUCAGUAGUGAAGAAAUCCUGUAAAACAAAGUACAGAUUCUACAUAUUAGUGACGUCAGAUGAUGCCCUCUUUGAGGAGACCAAGGUAAGACAAGUUUUCAACAAACUUCUAAUCCCAUAUUUCAAUUAAAUGUAUAUUUCAGUGAUAUACUGUAUGCAGCCUUCAUUUCUGAAGCUGUUAAAGUGAUACAAAACCCAAAAUGUGUUUUUUGUUUUUGGCAGUGCAACAUUCAUUGCCAGUACAAAAGGUGCCAGCCCCAAGUUGUUGUUUAUCACAUCGCUUUGAACUUAAUCAUGGACAUUUUUCAUUAUUUUCCUACAUUCUAUUGACCAAAACAAUUAAAAGAGAAAGUUAAUUGGCAGAUGAACCAAUAAUGAAAGUAAUGGUUUGUUGAAGCCCUAGUCAUUUCCUACACAUUCCUGUCCUAUGGAACUUCAGAUUGCAGCAUGAGCGCUGAUUACAGGUACAUACAGCAGCUCAGUGUUGUUUGUAGUUGACAUGUCUAUGUAUAUAUAUAUAUACAUAACAUGCAUACCAUCCUGCUUGAGUAACUGUGCUUGUUAGAUGUAUGAUGACUUUGACAGCCUGUUUGCCCACAAGUCAGGAAAUGGUAAAAAUAGACCUGACCUUGAAGUUAAGUCCCUCAGCAGGUCUUCAGGGAGUGUUGUUUAGUACACUGAGCAACUAGCUCAUUUCUAUUCAUCUAUCAGCACAUGCACUGCAGAAGGGACGCCAGUGCCUGAUUCCCAACAAGGUUGCAAGGUUGACAAGAACGUUCACGCUUGACCAUGAGAUCAGAAAAUGUGAACAAGCUGUUCCCAAGGUCAAGAAUAAACAGAACACAGAGCUAACACCACACUCUCAUGUGCAUGCUUGCAUGUUUGAUAGGGCUGUGCAUGUGGAUUGAGUUUGUUUGUUGAGUCAUAGUUUGGUGAAAAUAUGAGUGGAGCUGGGUAAUGUAUUUACUGAGUAAAUACACGAGCAACAGGAGUGGGAACAGAAGUUUCUAAGGUGGUUUUACACCUUGAAAUCUUGUCAAUUGAAUUUCAUCGUAACUGCCUCAAAUCCAAAGUGAUGAUAGCCAGAAACAUUUACUGCUCGUUUUCAAGCCUACGGUGGUGAGCGUUUCAUAAUCAAAGAAACAUAUUGGGCAAAGUAACAUUGAAAUAAUGUUCUCAAGAGGGUUGUAAAAACAGCUGUGAUCCAGAAAAUGACUACAAAAACCAAGACUGAAGCAUUUCCACACAUCAGCUUACAUUGCAAUAUAAUUUGUCUUAUUUGAUAUAAUCUCCCAUUUAUUGUGGUGAUAUCAAGAGGCAGUCAGCCACUGAGUAAACUCCAAGAUCAUAUCAGAAGAAUGCUGAAUUUAAGGACAGUAUAUAUGGGAUACCAAGUGGGUAUUUUUUUUUUUCAAAAUUAGGUCAAAGCCACGCAAGACUUACUAAUGAAAAAUGACGUUUAAUGUUUUGUAAUUUCUCCUUUUGUUUUCAAAAGGGACAGUUAGAGGCAGAGGGCCAUAUUGCUGUACAGCCAUCCGAGUUCUUCCUUGGUGAGGAUAGUUCUUCACCCCUACUCAUCAUCCUCAGGAAUGAAGACAUUGCAGAGCACAUUUUUGAGGUCCCACAUUUGCUCGAGUUGAAGAA